rnacentral:rRNA from 1 species
AUCGAACGCUGACGGCAGGCCUAACACAUGCCAGUCGAGCGAGCGGCGGACGGGUGAGUAAUGUAUGGGGACUGCCCGAUAGAGGGGGAUAACUACUGGAAACGGUAGCUAAUACCGCAUACUAUCGGAUAACCCAUAUGGGAUGAGCUAGUAGGUGAGGUAAUGGCUCACCUAGGCGACGAUCCCUAGCUGGUCUGAGAGGAUGAUCAGCCACACUGGUACUGAGACACGGCCCAGACUCCUACGGAGGCAGCAGUGGGGAAUAUUGCACAAUUGGCGCAAGCCUGAUGCAGCCAUGCCUCUUGUAUGAAUAAGGCCCUGGGGUUGUAAAGUACUUUCAGUCGGGAGGCCUUACCGACAGAAGAAGCACCGGCUAACUCCUUGCCAGCAGCCGCGGUAAUUC